AUGCUUUCUUUGGCAGCACAUAUACUAAACUUGGAACAAUACAGAGAAAAUUAGCAUGGACUGUGUGCAAGGAUGAUAUACAAAUUCAUUACACAUUCCAUAUUUUU
rnacentral:snRNA from 1 species